GUAGGUGAACCUGCGGAGGGAUCAUUAACACUUUUAAGGACUGGGAGAGGCAACUCUCCCUUUCUUUUUAUCCACUCGUGAACUAACUUAUGCCCCCGAUUGGGUUAUAUUUAUAUAGCCCGGUCCCUUUUUUUCUUACUAUUAUAAAAACUCUGUCCAACCGCUAACGCACUAUACAGACAGUUUCAUACUUCACAGUAUGAUACGGUGACUAUAGUAAUAUAAGCACAACUCUUAGCAACGGAUAUCU
rnacentral:misc_RNA from 1 species